rnacentral:ribozyme from 1 species
AGAAAGAUAAGAGAAAGAAAGAAAGAAAGAAAGGGGCUCCUCCUCCUCUUCUUAUUUCCCGUAUCGUUCUUAUCCUGUUUUUUUUCUU